rfam:Triticum aestivum genome assembly, contig: Triticum_aestivum_CS42_TGACv1_scaffold_592697_7BS
AUAAAGUUCCUUUGGGUAAGAAGUACUACUUGUCAUCAAAAUGGAUAAAAGGAGAUGUAUCUAGACAUAUUUUAGUUCUAUAUACGUCCUUUUUUAUCCAUUUUGAUGACAAGUAUUUUCGGACGGAGGGAGCUUAUA